rnacentral:sRNA from 1 species
AUGUACUUCCAUGUACAUUCCGGUUCCUGCGCUCCGGCCGUCCCCACCCUGCAGCCGCUCGCGACAUUUGUUGAGAC